AUACAGUAGAGAGGCUAUAUACAGUAGAGGCUAUAGACAGUAGAGAGGCUAUAUACAGUAGAGAGGCUAUAUACAGUAGAGAGGUUAUAUACAGUAGAGAGGUUAUAUACAGUAGAGGUUAUAUACAGUAGAGAGGCUGUAUACAGUAGAGAGGCUAUAUACAGUAGAGAGGUUAUAUACAGUAGAGAGGUUAUAUACAGUAGAGGUUAUAUACAGUAGAGAGGCUGUAUACAGUAGAGAGGCUAUAUACAGUAGAGAGGUUAUAUACAGUAGAGAGGUUAUAUACAGUAGAGGUUAUAUACAGUAGAGAGGCUGUAUACAGUAGAGAGGCUAUAUACAGUAGAGAGGUUAUAUACAGUAGAGAGGUUAUAUACAGUAGAGA